CAUACUCUGAAAUUGACCACACAAUCAGACAUAAAACAAUCCUCAGCAAAUGCAAAAGAACUGAAAUACCAAACACACAGCACAAUAAAAAUUGAAAUCAAGACUAAAAAUAUAAUUGCUCAAAACCAUUUACAUAGGAACAAAUCUAGUGAAAGAUGUUUAUGACUUCUACACUGAAAUACAAAUACUGCUAAGAAAAAUGGAAAAAUGCCUAAAGGGAAAACUGUACCAUGUUCAUGACUUGGAAGAUUCAAUAUUAAGGUGUCAGUUCUUCCCAAAUUUAUCCAUAAGUUGAAUGCAGUUCUAAUCAAAAUCUCAGCAGGUUUCUUU
rnacentral:lncRNA from 1 species